GCCGGAGCAGGAGGGUUUCGCCGCCGCGGCGCCGCCGCCUACCAGUAACACAGGACGAUAGGGAUCGCCGCCGAAACCAUGAAACCCAAAAUACCAAGCGCUACCUCCGGUCCGCUGGGAGUGGGGAGCGUCCAGCACCAGCAGCGAGGAGGCGCGAGCUCGGGCGUGAUGGCGGCGGAGCACGAGGAGGAGGCGGCCGUGGUCCGUGCCGGGACGAAGAGGAAGAGGGAGAGAAAGGCGGCUGGGGCGUCGGACCGCUCGACCAAGUUCCGCGGCGUGCGGCGGACCCGGAGCGGCAAGUACGGGGCGCAUGGCGUGGCUUGGCUCCUUCGACACCGCCGAGGAGGCCGCCAGAGCGUACGACGCGGCCGCCGUCAGGCUGCGCGGGCCGAAGGCCGUUACCAACUUCGAGCAACCCGUGGCCGUGGCUGCCAUUGCUGAUGCCGACGACGACAACGGAGAGAUGCCUGGCGAAGAGACUGACGUCGUCGGCGAUGAAGGGGAGGAUGUCUGCUCUCAGCAGCUGACGAUGCAGGCGCCGGUGACGGGGCAGGUGGGAUCCAAAGUCAUGGAGGCCUGGAUGGAGUUCCACGGUGAUCACCGGCGGCGGCAGCUGAUUCCGGUGCGGCCUGACUCCUUGGGUACCGCGGAGGAGGCCGUCAAGCUGGAUGAUGGUGUGACGGCCGAAGCCGAGUUCAAGCAACCCGUGGCUACGGCUGCUAAUGACGGCGACGGCCAGCAGCUCCAUGCCCGGCCAGAUAACACUCCCCUCCCCUCCGUAAGCUACGACAACUCCAGUGAUGAUCCGCUGCUGGCGCUCCUCACCGGCUUCUCAGAACAGCCGGCGCUCCUCAACGACUUCCUGGGACAGUCGGUGUUCCUGAACAACUUCCUGGAACAGCCGGCAUUCCUCAACAACCUCUUGGAACAGCCGGCGUUCAUCAACAACUUCCCGGAACAGCCUGCAUCCGACCUUCUUUCUGAGGACUUCCUGAACGACAUGGACUUCACCUGAGCUAUUCAAGUGGAGCAUGGCCAAGCACAUGCUGUAUAAAUCGUGGCUUAUACUUAACAACUGUGUUGGAGCCGGCUGACUGCUUCUGAAGCUUAACAAGUCUGGCUUAGCAAACAGGAGUUCUGCCUUUUCAGUUAGAGAAGAUCACAGAGUACAGCAGUUACAGCACCCUGAACACCAAGGAGAGAAAAAAGGAAAUACCGAAAUCAGCCACCACGGUGCGACUGAACACUAAACAAAAACUGCAACAUAAUCAGCGAUGAUCAGCUGCAAAAGCAUUGAAGGGUUGAUCUCUUUUUGCUGAAAAAUUCUUCUAUUUCUUUCAUUCCAAAGGUGCCAAUAUGGCUUUAUUAUGACCUGAUGAUGCAUGUGUACAAGAAUUACAACCAGAAUUUGCUUUCCUGAGCUUGGAGCUUGCUGAUUCUUCCAAUGAAGCUCAUGUGAUAUUUCAUCAGUUCAUUAUGGAUAUGAUGGGCAAUUAACAUUCUAUAUAUGCAAGAUUAAUUGGAGAGCUUCCUUCACCAGCUACAAAUAUGUGGGCACAAGUAUGAGCGCUUCAUUCAUCCGCCAUGGCAUUUGUAACAGGAACACGAGAAAAAAACUGCAAAUCAAAGGGAAACAAACUCUGCAAUGUCUCUUACAAUAUUAGGAGAAACUCCUAUAAAAUGAAAUCCUACGAAAUGUAUUAAGUUUCUUGUCUCACAUGAUCAUACCCCGUUCUUGGAUGGAAACCUCGUUUAGCUCCCGAGAUCCAGUGCUCCCUGUAAUUCAUUCUUAGACAUCUCCGUAAUCUGAAGAGUGAGAUACACAUUAUUUCUUGGGACUCGCUACUUGCACUUCGUCGUCAUCGCUUGGUGCUUCUUGUGUGUAUAUUUCAUGACAACUAUGAUAGGCACCAAACUCUAAAGAAAUUUUUGAGUUUUUCUUGUAUUGAACAGAAAGUAUUGUACUGCGGACUUAUUCAUGUCUUUACAAUUUAUUUAGGAAUCAAAAUGCCAUGUCAAAAAGUACUCCCUUUUUCUCUCCUAUUUGUGUCUUUUUAAUUCCUAUGUUCCGAAUAAGCCUUUGAUCGUUUGAAACUGUUCUACUUUUGAAAAUAUUGUAAUUUCAAUAGUAAAUUUCUAAA